ensembl:misc_RNA Metazoa_SRP Metazoan signal recognition particle RNA
GCUGGGUGCAGUGGCGCGUGCUUGUAGUCCCAGCUACUCAGGAGGCUGAGGCUGGAGGACAGCUUGAGCCCAGGAAUUCUGGGCUGUAGCGUACUAUACCAAUCGGGUGUCCGCACUAAGUUUGGCAUCAAUAUGGUGACCUCCUGGGAACGGGGAACCACCAGGUUGCCUAAGGAGGGAUAAACAGGCCCAGGUCAGAAACCGAGUAGGUCAAAAUUCCUAUGCUAAUCAGUAGUGGGAUUGCACCUGUGAAUAGCCACUGCACUCCAGCUUGGACAACAUAGGGAGACCCCAUCUCUU